GCUCAGAUGUGACUGGUGCUCAGGGAGUCAGGUGGAACCUGUUGCCUGGAAGAACAAGCUUGUCUGGCCCAAGACCUGACACCUGCAGAGCAGAGAGAAGAGCAGCCAGGCCAGCAGCCAUGCAGAGGGGACUGGGGGCUCUGCUGGGGCUUCUGUGGGUGCAGCUUUGCUGGGUGAGAGGGCAGCAGGUGGAGCAGAGUCCUUCAGGCCUGACGCUCCAGGAGGGAGCCAGAUCCACUCUGAGGGACAAAGCAGGAGGGAAAGUUAAAGGGAGUACUGAAUUUUCAAGAGCGCUACAGCACCCUGCACAUCUCGACCUCCCAGCUGGAAGACUCAGGCACCUACUUCUGUGCAGCAGAGGCACAGUGCUCCCAGGGGACCUGCAGCCUGUCUGCAAACUGCAGCUGCACCUGCAGCCACUGCCUGUGCUUCAGGGAGGACUUACACAGGAGCCUCUGCACAGCUAUGGGUGUCCUGGAUUCAUGUCAUAGCACUGUCACCUAUGGUAAUGGGAGAAUUCUCAGUACUGUCAUUCUAUUUGGGUGGGACUCUUCCACACAGAAACCCUUUGCAGAAAAAAUUUCUAAUAAAAAAGCAUUGGAGCAACUGAUAAGGAUGUCAGGGACCCAGAUAUUGUUAAAACAGGUCCCCUUUUCCCCU